rnacentral:lncRNA from 1 species
GCUCCUUUGUCCACGAGAUUUUCCAGGCAAAAAUACUGGAGCAGGUUGCCAUUCCCUUCUCCAGGGGAUCUUCCUGACCCAGGGAUCGAACCUGCAUCUCCUGCAUUGGGAGAUGGAUUCUUUACCACUGAGUCACCUGGGAAGCCUGAAUUAGCAAUACUGAGUCUUUAUUCCUAGGGAAAAUACAGCACUAGGUUUUUGUGAGCCUCUAAUCACAUUUUUUUCAAUUGAUCAAACUUAACCUUGUUUUAUGCGUAUUUCUGCUCGGACACAUUACUUGGUAUAUAUCGUUGAUUCGAAAUGGACACAACUGCUCUAACACACCUGUUUUCUCUGUAAUCCACAUCACAACUUUCUUGCAGUUAGAAAGCACUUCAGCACGAUGUUUGGGGCCAUUUGAAAGAGCACAGUCACUCACAAAAAGCACAAAAUUGUGAAGAGCCCUGCACUAGAUGGAUCACGGAAAGGACAUGUUAACAGUGUGAGCUGUAACAGGAGGGUGGAGCAUCGGUCGGCUUGCUGGACUUCAGCUGGGAGUUUGCACGUGGGGCCACUCUUCGAAUGUCCACCAGCGACCCUGAAGGCAUGAUUCCCUUGGCCUCAGCACCAAAGCAGAGGAGACCCAGAAGGAUAAGCCAGAACAUUGGAGAGCUGGGUCCCCACCCCAACAGCAGGACCCACAGGCCAGGUCUCACUGGGCUCUUGACGCAGAGCAGUGCCUCCAUCCAUCAGCAUCCUCUAAAGCCAAGGAGACCCUGCUUCCAGGAGGCAGUGAGGAGGCUGGGAGAGAGGAGGUGGCCUGCAGCAGCAGCUACGUGGCUCCCUCCUGCAGAGGGCCUCCCGAGCCCCAGCCUAACAUGGGCCUUUGCAGGCGGAAACCCAAGUCAGAGCCUGCAGGUUCCUGACCACCCAGCAGUGGAGGCUGGGCUCACCCUCGAUCGUGUCUCUUGCCCCAGCAUUUUCUGCUCAGGGCUGCCCACUCGGGCCUUGUGAUAAAGGUACAUUUCCCGGUUGGUUAUUUUCAUGGGAAAAGUCUCGUGUUUGGGGCAGGGAGGGAUUGACAGGGGAGAGGGGUGAUGGACUUUGUUUUCUACCCAGGAAGAGAAUGGAGACCGAGGGAGCAGACCCAGCUCUGAGGAAGCAGACACCCGGUGAAUCCUAAAGGAAAUCAACCCUGAUUACUCAUUGGAAGGACUGACUGAUGCUGUAGAUGAAGCUCUGAUAAUUUAGCCACCUGGUACAAAGAGCCGACUCACUGGAAAAUUCCCUGAUGCUGGGAAAGAUUGAGGGCAGGAGAAGGGGACGAUAGAGGACAAGAUGGUUGGAUGGCAUCACUGACUCGAGGGACAUGAGUUUGAGCAAGCUCUGGGAGUUGGUGAUGAACAGGGAGGCCUGGUGUGCUGCAGUCCACGGGGUCGCAAAGAGUCCGACACGACUGAGCGACUGAACAACAAUCAGGCCCCCGGAGCCUGUCCCCAGGCACAGCCAGCUCUCCCGGGGCCUCCCCUGCUGUGUCCCGCAGCUCCACCCAGGAAGGGAGGCUGUGUGACCUCCUGUGCAGCAUGGAGGGCCCUUCAGGAACAGGCUGACAGCAGAGGAGACAGGGAACCAGUGGGAGAAGGACCUCCUCCAGAGCCCCACCCCAGCCUCCCUUCCCUCUGGAUGUUAGAGCCAGAGGCCCAGCCACCAUCACCACCCACCCUGGGCCAUCUGCUUUGGCCCCAGACCCUGGGCAGGAGGGGCCUGCAGGCUGCCCACGCACCCGUGUCUCAUGUGUGAGGGGUGGGCAGGGAGAGAUGGUUCCCAAAGACCCGCAGCUGCCAGACCAACUUCCCCAUGUCAGCAAGAUUUGUAAGGCCCUCAAGUGACUGCUCGGGGUUGGGGUGUCAACCCAGCACCUCUGCUCCCCUCUAAAGCUCAGAACUGCCCUUCCCAGAAGACGCUUCCCUGCUGGGUUUGAAUAGUAAGAUUUGCAAGAUGGAAGUGAAGUCCAAAGUUAGGGGUCAUGCCAGACACAUGGAAGUCCCCCCCGGCCCCAGGUGUCCUGGCUCCCCUCCUGUCCCACGUCCAGCCUGUCUGCCUGAUCGCUGCAGCCUCCAGCGGUCCCCAGGCCACCACCAGGCACCGUAUCAGGGCAGCAGCCUCCUCAGACCUCUCCCCGCGCUCUCUCUCCAUGGCCUCACCCCGCCAAUCUCCCCGCAGGCUUGAGCCCAAGUCCCAAGGAGGCCACAGGGACUGAGGGGCAGAGCUGGCCUGUGGCUCCUCCCAGAGAGACCGUGGGCUGUAGUGGCCAGAAUGCAAACAGGCUAUCAGCCCGCCACUGCCCUGCCUGUGGGAGCUCAGCCGAGUCCCCCGUCCCGCGCCCCUGUUGCCGCAUCGGAGUUUUGGAUGGUAGUGAUUCUCUACAGGGUGUCUGCGAGGGUUUGAGAGCGUGUUCUAAAGCUCCUGGUCAUGGAAGGUGCCCGUUCAGUGAUCAGUGAGAUUACCCCUCGUGUGAACAUUCAUAUUACUUGUUUUUCUAAAACGUAUGCCCUUUUCACCUGAAUCUACAUUCGAAUGUACAUUUAAAAAAU